rnacentral:snRNA from 1 species
UGUGAGGGUGCUCUGGCUGUGACAUCUGUCACCAGGGUUGAUCGCCAGGGUUGAUUCAGCUGAUCUGGCUGGCUAGGCGGGUGUCCCCCUCCUCCCUCACCGCUAUAUGUGCAUCCCUCCUGAAGCUGCGUGCUCCAUUGAAGAGGACUGCCCUCCCCGAAUAGGGAUGGACCAGUCCCCCUCCUCCCUCACCGCUAUAUGUGCAUCCCUCCUGAAGCUGCGUGCUCCAUUGAAGAGGACUGCCCUCCCCGAAUAGGGAUGGACCAGUCUUCGGUCAAGGGUAUAAAAGUGGCUGUGCUUCCCUGCUAGAACCUCCAAACAAGCUCUCAAGAAUAGCAGUAUAGUGGGGUCUGGGCAGUAGUGCACUGGGUUAAGUGCACAUAGU